rnacentral:rRNA from 1 species
GAACGCUAGCGGCAGGCUUAACACAUGCAAGUCGAGGGGCAGCAUGAGAUGGAGAUUCGUCGAAGUCUUGAUGGCGACCGGCGCAAGGGUGCGUAACGCGUGAGCAACUUGCCCGUUUCUGGGGAAUAACCGGUGGAAACGCCGACUAAUACCCCAUAGUAUUGAGUUUAGGCAUCUUUACUCAAUUAAAGAAUUUCGGAAACGGAUAAGCUCGCGUGACAUUAGCUUGAUGGCGGGGUAACGGCCCACCAUGGCGACGAUGUCUAGGGGUUCUGAGAGGAAGGUCCCCCACACUGGAACUGAGACACGGUCCAGACUCCUACGGGAGGCAGCAGUGAGGAAUAUUGGUCAAUGGUCUGACGACUGAACCAGCCAUGCCGCGUGAAGGUCACGGCCCUAUGGGUCUUAAACUUCUUUUGUAAGGGAGCAAUAAGUCUCACGUGUGGGAUGAUGAGAGUACCUUACGAAUAAGCAUCGGCUAACUCCGUG